rnacentral:rRNA from 1 species
GCGACCCCAGGAUGGGUGAGGCCACCCGCUGAGUUUAAGCAUAUCAAUAAGCGGAGGAAAAGAAACUUACGAGGAUUCCCCUAGUAACGGC